rnacentral:rRNA from 1 species
UGGAGAAUCUCAUGAAUCAUCGAGUCCCUGAACGCAAGUUGCACCUGAAGCCAUUAAGNCGAUGGCGCAUCUGCUUGGGCGUCACAAGCCAGUGCCCCUCCUGGCACCUGCCUUGGAAGAGUCGGUGGGCGAACGAUGUCUUUCAGUGCGUCACCACGCGUGGUUGGCACAAAUGUUUAGUCCCCGGCGACAAACGCCACAAUAUCAUUGGUUGUCAAACCUCAGUUGCCUGUUGUGCACUUUCAUCGAGCUCUGGGCGGCUCACGAUGCUCACUACUCUACUUCGACGGAGCCUUCAACGCCACCCCAGGUCAGGUAGGGAUACCNGCUAAA